rnacentral:lncRNA from 1 species
UUGGUGUUUUGUAUAGUUCUAGGGAUUGUAUUUCACUCAAAACUUACCAAAUGACUGCUUCCACAAUAUUAUGAUGUUCCCCAAGUUUUGGACUCAAUCCGAUAUCGAUUGGUCCUUGAAAUCGGACAAUUCAGGUUCGUACGAUGUCCGUUCUGAAAUGGGGUGGUUGGUGUGUUGUAUAGUUCUACAAAUUGGAUUUCACUCAAACCCCACCAAAUGAC